rnacentral:rRNA from 1 species
GUCUUUUUGAGUUAUUUUUAAAGUCUGACCUGCCCACUGAAUAUUUUUAAAUGGCCGCAGUAUUCUAACUGUGCAAAGGUAGCAUAAUCAUUAGUCUUUUAAUUGAAGGCUGGUAUGAACGGUUGGACGAAGUAUAAGCUGUUUCAUAUAAAAUUAUAUUAGAAUUUUAUAUUUUAGUUAAAAAGCUAAAAUAUUAUUAAAAGACGAGAAGACCCUAUAAAUCUUUAUAUUUAAUAUUAUCCAAAUUUUUUUGAUUAAUUUUAUUUUUAUAAUAUUAAAUAUUUUGUUGGGGUGAUAUUAAAAUUUAACAAACUUUUAAUUUUGAAUUAGAACAUUAAUUUAUGAAUAGUUGAUCCAUUAUUAAUGAUUAUAAGAUUAAGUUACUUUAGGGAUAACAGCGUAAUUUUUUUUGAGAGUUCAUAUCGACAAAAAAGUUUGCGACCUCGAUGUUGGAUUAAGAUAUAUAUUUAGGUGUAGCCGUUUAAAUAUUAAGUCUGUUCGACUUUUAAAUUCUU